rnacentral:rRNA from 1 species
GAUGAACGCUGGCGGCGUGCCUAAUACAUGCAAGUCGAGCGAACAGACGAGGAGCUUGCUCCUCUGACGUUAGCGGCGGACGGGUGAGUAACACGUGGAUAACCUACCUAUAAGACUGGGAUAACUUCGGGAAACCGGAGCUAAUACCGGAUAAUAUAUUGAACCGCAUGGUUCAAUAGUGAAAGACGGUUUUGCUGUCACUUAUAGAUGGAUCCGCGCCGCAUUAGCUAGUUGGUAAGGUAACGGCUUACCAAGGCAACGAUGCGUAGCCGACCUGAGAGGGUGAUCGGCCACACUGGAACUGAGACACGGUCCAGACUCCUAAGGGAGGCAGCAGUAGGGAAUCUUCCGCAAUGGGCGAAAGCCUGACGGAGCAACGCCGCGUGAGUGAUGAAGGUCUUCGGAUCGUAAAACUCUGUUAUUAGGGAAGAACAAAUGUGUAAGUAACUAUGCACGUCUUGACGGUACCUAAUAAGAAAGCCACGGCUAACUACGUG